AGUGAACGCUGGCGGCGUGCUUAACACAUGCAAGUCGAACGAGAACGGGUUAUAGCUUGCUAUAAUUGUCAGCUAAGUAGCACACGGGUGAGUAAUGUAUAGGUAAUAUGCCUCUUACUAAGGGAUAACAAAUGGAAACGUUUGCUAAUACCUUAUACUCCUUAUUAACAUAAGUUAAUAAGGGAAAAAUUUAUUGGUAAGAGAUUAGCCUGUAUUGUAUCAGUUAGUUGGUGGGGUAAUGGCUUACCAAGACUAUGACACAUAACUGGUUUGAGAGGAUGAUCAGUCACACUGGAACUGAGACACGGUCCAGACUCCUACGGGAGGCAGCAGUGGGGAAUAUUGCACAAUGGACGAAAGUCUGAUGCAGCAACGCCGCGUGGAGGAUGACACAUUUCGGUGCGUAAACUCCUUUUAUAUGAGAAGAUAAUGACGGUAUUAUAUGAAUAAGCACCGGCUAACUCCGUGCCAGCCGCCGCCGUAA
rnacentral:rRNA from 1 species